rnacentral:misc_RNA from 1 species
AACUGAUACUACCUGCGGGAACCUGCGGAAGGAUCAUUACCGAGUUUACAACUCCCAAACCCCCUGUGAACCUAUACCGUUACUGUUGCUUCGGCGGGUCAUUGCCCCGGGGAAAGGACGAGGUGCCGCCUAGGCUCCCCGGCCCGCCCCCGGAAACAGGCGCCUGCCGGGGGAAUCAAACUCUUCUGUAUUUUUUACUUUUACUGUUAUACUGUCUGAGUACAAAACUAUAAAUGAAUC